GCAAGUCGAACGAGUUCUGAUUAUUGAAAGGUGCUUGCAUCUUGAUUUGAUUUUGAACGAGUGGCGGACGGGUGAGUAACACGUGGGUAACCUGCCCUUAAGUGGGGGAUAACAUUUGGAAACAGAUGCUAAUACCGCAUAAAUCCAAGAACCGCAUGGUUCUUGGCUGAAAGAUGGCGUAAGCUAUCGCUUUUGGAUGGACCCGCGGCGUAUUAGCUAGUUGGUGAGGUAACGGCUCACCAAGGCAAUGAUACGUAGCCGAACUGAGAGGUUGAUCGGCCACAUUGGGACUGAGACACGGCCCAAACUCCUACGGGAGGCAGCAGUAGGGAAUCUUCCACAAUGGACGCAAGUCUGAUGGAGCAACGCCGCGUGAGUGAAGAAGGCUUUCGGGUCGUAAAACUCUGUUGUUGGAGAAGAAUGGUCGGCAGAGUAACUGUUGUCGGCGUGACGGUAUCCAACCAGAAAGCCACGGCUAACUACGUGCCAGCAGCCGCGGUAAUACGUAGGUGGCAAGCGUUAUCCGGAUUUAUUGGGCGUAAAGCGAGCGCAGGCGGUUUUUUAAGUCUGAUGUGAAAGCCCUCGGCUUAACCGAGGAAGUGCAUCGGAAACUGGGAAACUUGAGUGCAGAAGAGGACAGUGGAACUCCAUGUGUAGCGGUGAAAUGCGUAGAUAUAUGGAAGAACACCAGUGGCGAAGGCGGCUGUCUGGUCUGUAACUGACGCUGAGGCUCGAAAGCAUGGGUAGCGAACAGGAUUAGAUACC
rnacentral:rRNA from 3 species